CCAGACCCACCGUUCAGCCGUUAUGGAGGACAGCAGGUCAACUGAUGCCGGCUGGGUGUUUUUUUGUGCUGCUGAAGUGUUUAUUUCUACUUUGUGCAGGGCUUCCGUACAUCAAGCGAGCAUCACGAAUCAGCACCCAUGCCUAGCCCACCUGCUGUGUUCCCUCAAGAUGCCAGAGGCUGGGAAACUUAGUUAUAUUUGAAAACGGUAAAGGAAUGACCUCCAUUUGCUGGAAAUGUCUCUGCAAGGACAAACCAUUUUGUAAAGCAGAACAGAAUAUUGCAAUGCUUGUAAAAAGCUGGGAAGUUUUUCCAAAUUUUAGAUAAGUAAGACCAAACUUUAUUUUUGAUCAAUGAUCCAGAUUUACACACUCAGAAUAAACCCAUUGGUUGCUGCGCUAAAACCCCCAUUGACCCUUCAAGGAGAAACAGGUAUAGCCAAUGAAUGAAUGAACAAUCAGAAUUGCUCUCAAGCAUCGACUUUGUCUACUUUGUGAGUUAUACGAGUACAACUAUUGGGAAGAAGGAAGGAAGAAAAGCUUGUCUUUAUCACCUAAACACAGUAGUAGUGUAUGCACAUUUACGAGUAUUUCUACCAUAAUAAACUGUGCCAUUUGAACUUUUUAUUGUGAUUUUGAGUUCUGCAUUGGGUAAUUCUAGUCAUGACAUACUUUUGCUCAAACAAAAUAGCUUUCAGUGGCAGAGAAAAUAUUUCCAGAGGAAUUUUAUUCAGCCACAUCUUGUUAUAUUAAAAACCUCACAGCCAGUUUCACAUUUUUGAAAAUGAAGAUUGAAGAAAUUAACACUUGAAGCAGAUUUACAUAUUGAAAACUAAUUAAAUUCUGCAAACGCACUUACUGAAACUUUGUAAUUAUGUUUAGGCAACAGCAGUUUAUUUACAAGUACAAAAGAUUACAUGACUAUAAAACAAAUCUUUUGAACAAUAGAUUGAUUGAGAGAAUAUUGUCUCUCAGCAUUAACUAAAGUCUACCAGCCCCGCCAGAACUUUCUCACACUAUAUUUAUCUUCGUGCAGCAGAGAGGAUUUUUCUGCUGCGACUGUGUAUUGUGACAUUAAUUCAGCAGCAGCAUGCUAUUUAAGUGGAAUAAUUACAUAUUUGCCUGUCAGUUUGACAGGCAUUAGGCUGUCCACGGACAUUUGUUAAGCUUCCUUUGCGACUCUCAGUGAUGCUCUAAAUUCAGCAACGUUGUGGGAGUAAUGGUGUUUUCAGUGAAACUGUUUUCUAAACGAAGAGUGCGUUGUCCACCUGUGAGAACAAAUAGCUUCAAACCACUUAAAAUUUAUCUUCUUUGGUUUCUAUUAACUGUUGAGGAAAUAUAACUAUUUUGAGUGUUUAAUAUAGUUAAUCUCACAGCCAUGUGCAUUUAGGUAGAUUGAACAUUCUUAUCUGGACAAAAACUAAACAGAUGUAAGCCAGGAGACAGCCAGGAGGCAAGAGAUAAACAUUCUCUUGGAGGAGUUUAACCAAAACACUAUUCUCUUGAAAGGCUUUAAAUUAGGUGGGCCAUAAACCAUAUCUCCCCGGCUCAGAGGUCGAAGGUCGGGGGUUUCUCAGAGAAGAGGGCUGCAUCUGGAGUUGGUUACAGCCUGGUACUAACGUCUAAUUUUAAUGCAUCUUUAAAUACUAAUCGCAUGUUUUUGAUUAAAGUAUAUUACCCAAGUUAGAAGUAUUAAUCUAGUAGAUGAUUAAUGUAUUUGAAAAUGUAUUAUCAGUGACAAUUUCGGAAUCAAAGGAAAAUUGUUUGAAUUAGAAAAGGAAUUCUACCUCAUUUUGUUCUGUGAGAGGACAAAGAUUUAGGUUUUUGGAGAUGCUGAAAUCAGAAAAGCAGAAAACUAAGUUUGAUGAAAAUAACUUAUAAUUUUAACAAGUAGUAAACGACUUUUGAUUUCUGCCUAAACUGAGGGGAAGGUCUAAGUCUUUCCAGGGUAGCUUUUGGUUGGUCAAAACAGGGAACGCCCUAUUUGCAUAUAUUAACAAAAAGAAACGCCUUCAUUAGAAAAGUGAAUGCUCAAGAAUACGAAGUCAGAUGGCUGCUUGAUUCUGCUUUUUGCAUCCGCCUUCUCCAAAGACGCGUCUUUGUCCUUCUUUCUGUCUUUGUUCUCUUCUUUUAAUUCUCUGACUCAGGUAAAGAAUGUACUUCUCUGUAAUCUGCAGUUUCCUUGUUAAUUCAUAUGGUGUUUUCCCAUUGGAUUAAACUCUGUAACACUGUGACGUCAGCACGCCUCGUUGUUUUCUUCUGGCCGUGAAGUCAUCCGCUCAGGGACCCGGGAAGGAAGAAAAGAGAGCCAAGCUUUUUCCAAAAUUAAGCUAAUUUAGAGUUUUUCUUCCAA